CCUACGGGUGGCAGCAGUGAGGAAUAUUGGUCAAUGGACGCAAGUCUGAACCAGCCAUGCCGCGUGCAGGAAGACGGCCCUAUGAGUUGUAAACUGCUUUUGUACGGGGGUAAACGCAGAUACGUGUAUCUGUCUGACAGUAUCGUACGAAUAAGGAUCGGCUAACUCCGUGCCAGCAGCCGCGGUAAUACGGAGGAUUCGAGCGUUAUCCGGAUUUAUUGGGUUUAAAGGGUGCGUAGGCGGUCGGAUAAGUUAGCGGUGAAAUUCCGAGGCUCAACUUCGGAAUUGCCGUUGAUACUGUUCGGCUUGAGAGUAGUAGAGGUAGGCGGAAUGCGUGGUGUAGCGGUGAAAUGCGUAGAGAUCAUGCAGAACACCGAUUGCGAAGGCAGCUUACCGGGCUACUACUGACGCUGAGGCACGAAAGCGUGGGGAGCAAACAGGAUUAGAUACCCCUGUAGUC
rnacentral:rRNA from 1 species